AAGUAGUUUGUUUUUAGCUGUGUUGAAAAAUCUUAUGAAUGAGGUAAAAAGUCUCAAUUUUUUAUUUUUUUGGAGUUAUCAAAGAAUUGGUGGGGAAGCAAGUGCCAGCACCCGCGGUUAGACUUGAGCCAAAAGUUAAAUCACAAAUCUUAAAAUUAAGGAAAUAAUCUUGUCCUCAAACUAAUCGUAACUUGAGAUUUAUCAAAGCGGUAGCAUGAAUCGGAGUUGUUCCCGGGUAAUCCGCUCAAACAAAGUUGGGUACAAACCCAAACUUUAUGGCUGUUUCCAUGAAAAAAAAUAGAGAAAUUUGAGUUUUGGCCAAUCCCCCGUAUUGUCGAUUUUUUAAAUUGUUUGUGUGUGGUUGUCUAAAAAUUCUUAAGACUUAAAAUUUAUGGUCAGAUAACAUUCAACUUAAAAAAUUAACUCGAAUUGCAAAAAAUCUCUUUGGAGCAACUUUAUUAAUUACAGGAUUUAUUAGUAAGCUAAACGAGCUGAAUGUGAAACAUAAAAGUUCAUAUUGUCCGUCACUCUCGUAAUGAGAUAAGUCGUAGCAAAGUAACGCUUGCGGAAUCAGGCGUUG
rnacentral:rRNA from 1 species